UGUGACAGAAUAGUGUGAUAAAUUUAAGAUUUAUUUAUAAAGAUUAUCUUUCUUUAGAA
rnacentral:tRNA from 2 species